UACGUAGGGUGCAAGCGUUGUCCGGAAUUAUUGGGCGUAAAGAGCUCGUAGGCGGUCUGUCGCGUCGGCUGUGAAAACUUGGGGCUCAACUCCGAGCUUGCAGUCGAUACGGGCAGGCUAGAGUUCGGCAGGGGAGACUGGAAUUCCUGGUGUAGCGGUGAAAUGCGCAGAUAUCAGGAGGAACACCGGUGGCGAAGGCGGGUCUCUGGGCCGAUACUGACGCUGAGGAGCGAAAGCGUGGGGAGCGAACAGG
rnacentral:rRNA from 1 species